UACGUAGGGGGCAAGCGUUGUCCGGAAUCAUUGGGCGUAAAGAGCGUGUAGGCGGUCCGGUAAGUCGGCUGUGAAAUCCUCGGGCUCAACCCGGGAACUGCGUCCGAUACUGGUUGGCUUGAAUCCGGGAGAGGGAUGCGGAAUUCCAGGUGUAGCGGUGAAAUGCGUAGAUAUCUGGAGGAACACCGGUGGCGAAGGCGGCAUCCUGGACCGGCAUUGACGCUGAGGCGCGAAAGCCAGGGGAGCAAACGGG
rnacentral:rRNA from 1 species